UACGAAGGGGGCUAGCGUUGCUCGGAAUCACUGGGCGUAAAGGGUGCGUAGGCGGGUGUUCAAGUCCGGGGUGAAAUCCUCCAGCUCAACUGGAGAACUGCCUUGGAUACUGGGCACCUCGAGGGUGGUAGGGGUAUGCGGAACUAUCGGUGGAGCGGUGAAAUGCGUUGAUAUCGAUAGGAACUCCGGUGGCGAAGGCGGCAUACUGGACCACUUCUGACGCUGAGGCGCGAAAGCCAGGGGAGCGAACGGG
rnacentral:rRNA from 1 species